GAUGAACGCUGGCGGCGUGCCUAAUACAUGCAAGUCGAGCGAACGGACGAGAAGCUUGCUUCUCUGAUGUUAGCGGCGGACGGGUGAGUAACACGUGGAUAACCUACCUAUAAGACUGGGAUAACUUCGGGAAACCGGAGCUAAUACCGGAUGAUAUUUUGAACCGCAUGGUUCAAAAGUGAAAGACGGUCUUGCUGUCACUUAUAGAUGGAUCCGCGCUGCAUUAGCUAGUUGGUAAGGUAACGGCUUACCAAGGCAACGAUGCAUAGCCGACCUGAGAGGGUGAUCGGCCACACUGGAACUGAGACACGGUCCAGACUCCUACGGGAGGCAGCAGUAGGGAAUCUUCCGCAAUGGGCGAAAGCCUGACGGAGCAACGCCGCGUGAGUGAUGAAGGUCUUCGGAUCGUAAAACUCUGUUAUUAGGGAAGAACAUAUGUGUAAGUAACUGUGCACAUCUUGACGGUACCUACUCAGAAAGCCACGGCUGACUCCGUG
rnacentral:rRNA from 1 species